CUUUAUAUGCCAGGGUCAUCAUUGUGAACAUCAGUUUUUUGCUUGUGUUCCCAGUACUGUGCACUGAAAUUUUCUCUUCCUCUGCCUACUAAACACUGUACCUGGUUGUGCUUGCUGUUUCUGGUCUCCUCCUAGCUGGCUGGUUCAGCUUCCUGGGUUCCCUGCGGGUCCCAGCACUUCAGCUGCACGUGAGCAAAACAGCAAUGGGAGCCAGUCAGAAGGAUUUUGAGAGUGCAGUCAAUCAGGUGAAGCUGUUGAAGAAGGACCCAGGAAAUGAAGUGAAGCUCAAACUCUAUGCGCUCUAUAAGCAGGCCACUGAAGGGCCUUGUAAUACACCUAAACCAGGUCUGUUCGACUUGAUCAAUAAGGCCAAAUGGGAUGCAUGGAAUGCUCUUGGCGAUCUGCCCAAGGUAAAUUUACUUGCUACUUGGCUU